UUGUGGUAUAGGAUCUAUAAAAGAAAAAUUGUUAAUACAUAAAAUUAAUUCUUAUUCAUUUAAUACUACUAGUUAUACAUGUGAUUGGUAUGAUAUAUUUCAAGAAUUAUUUUUUAAGAAAUCUAAUUUAUAUUCAAGAUUUUAUAACACCACACUAAUCCAUCAUGAACAUAAUGUACCAUGUGUUAAAUUUUCUCCAGAUUGUAAUUUUCUUUUAUCUUGUUCAAUUGACAAAAGUGUAGUUUUGUGGAAUAUUAUGAAUGUAGAAAAUCAUCGUUUGGAUAAUGAGUUUGAUAUAUAUGGUCAUAUUUUUAAUCCUAAUAAAAAAAGUGUAUUUAAAAAUGGUAGUGGUAGUCAUUAUUUUACUGCAAAGUGUAACAAUAAUGAAUCUCGUGAUGAUUGUACAACAUGGUCCUCUAUUUUUAAACCACAAAUAAAUUAUUUAAGCAAAAAAAAUAUAUUCGAUAAAACGUAUCAUGAAACAAAACUGUAUCAAACUAAAAAAGAUAAGGAAAUACUUUGUAAUAUAAAUAAACAUAAUAUAUUGUGUAAACAUAAACUAGAAUACAUGGGUUGGAGUUGUGAUUUUGUUAUAAAAAAAUAUAUUUCCAAAUUUGAUCCUUUAGUUGAAUUAUUUUAUAAACAUGCAUCCACUUUUGUUUAUACUGAACCAGUUUAUAAUUACGCUUCAUUUUUCCCUUUUUUUGGAAAAUUUAUAUUAAGACAUUAUUUUAGUCAAUUUUGUGAAAAGUAUUCUUUGUUUCAAUUAUUUAUAUUAUCUUUCUUGAAUUUGCAGAAUACAACUAAUUAUGUCUACAAAAGUUAUAGCAAUGGUAGUAGUUGUAUUGGUGGUAGUAAAAAGAAGAAUAGGGUUGAUAGUGACGAAUAUACAGAACGAACAAACUGGAUCUCCUAUUUACACUCACUGGGCAUAAAAAAGAAUCAACUUUUAAAAGAUUGUACUCUCAAUAAUUUAAUAAAAAUUUUAUUAACACAAGAAAAAAACAAAAUUGAUGGAAAAUAUUGGAAAGACAAAAAAAAACUAAAACAAGUUUAUUCCAGUAUGAAAUAUGUUACACAUAAUUUACUAAAAAGAUAUUUUAUAUUAUAUCCAAAAACCAGUCCUAAAUGUAAUGAGAUUCAAAAAGACAUAUUAAAAGAAACGGAUUGUAAGGCCAAUAUGUGUAUUAUCACUGACUACGAACUGGAUUACAUUAAUAGUGGUGAUUAUAUUUAUAAAAAUUUUAAAGGAAAAAAAAAAAAAAAAAGGUUAGAUUACUUAAUGCCUUCGGUUAAUAUUUUUUCUGAUCGACCUGUAACGGAAAAAAAAAAGAUAGGGUUAGAAUUGGACUCAAGAAAGCAGUUUGAAUCGAAUCCAAGGAAGCAAUUCGAAUCGAAUCCAAGAAAGCAAUUCGAAUCGAAUCCAAGAAAGCAGUUCGAAUCGAAUCCAAGGAAGCAAUUCGAAUCGAAUCCAAGGAAGCAAUUCGAAUCGAAUCCAAGGAAGCAAUUCGAAUCGAAUCCAAGAAAGCAACUUGAAUCGAAUCCAAGAAAGCAAUUCGAAUCGAAUCCAAGAAAGCAAUUCGAAUCGAACCCAAGAAAGCAACUUGAAUCGAACCCAAGAAAGCAAUUCGAAUCGAUGUUUAAAGGACAAGGGCAAGAGGAGAACAAAUUAAAUAAUUCAAAUGAAAGUGUGCCACAUAUUAACCUGUGCAACGACAGUGAAGAAUUAAACUUCAUAACAGACUAUACUUCCGAUGCAUCAAAAGAAAUCCAUUACAUUACAAAAAACUAUCCAUACCAAAGAAAAAAACACAAGUAUAUGAAUCCUUAUUUUAAACAUAUUGAUAAAAAUAAUAAUGAGUUUGACGAAGAUUAUUUAAAAAAAAUAGAAUAUGAACAAUCUUUAUUAUAUAAAUAUACAAACAAAUUAAAAAAUGAAAAUAGUUUAAUAUUUUUAUCAUGUCGGUUAGAACCAAAAAAUAAUAACUAUAGUAAAAAAUUAUUAAUCUUAUUUGAAAAGAAAAUAAAACAAUUUGUAGACAUGCAAAAUUUCAAAAGUAUAUAUUAUCAUAUAAAAAAUAAAAUAUUAACUAGAUAUAUAAAUACGUAUAAAGCACUGAAACCGACUUUAUUUUUUAAUUUUCACAUAUCAGGAAGUUAUGACGAAUCAAAAAUAUUAAACGAACUUUUGCUUAAUUAUUCAGUGUAUUUUGCUGACCAAGGGAGUAUCAGUACUUGUAGUGAUAGUGGUAGUAGUAGUAGUAGUAGUAGUAGUAGUGGUCGUAACAAACGGAGCAGUCAAAACAAUAAGCGUGUUAAUAAGCGUGUUAAUAAGCGUGCUAAUAAGCAUGCUAAUAAGCAUUUUAUGUCAUACUUAAAAUUAUUAAAAAAAGAACAAUUGUUAAAAGAUGAUUGUAACAAGAGUAAGCAAAAUGGUAAGCAAAGGGAUGAUUGUUCCUCUAGUAGUCGUCCCAAUGACAGCAAGUAUGGCAAUUGUAAUAAUGACGUUAUAAACAAAGGGUAUACAAUCAUAUUAAAAAAUAACAUUGCCAACUUUCAUAAUGUCAUACAUGACAUAAUAAACAUUUCUCAUGAAAAUAAAAUUAUUAACCAUCACAGAUAUUUUCAAACAAACAAUAUUUAUAAAUCUAGAAAUAAAAAAGUGAAAGGUGAUAAGGACAAGGCAUAUUCAAAACAUGUAAAAAAGGGACGAGUACAAGAAGGUAUGAAACGGGAUAGUGUUGGUGGUACCAGCUGUAGUAAUAGUAGUAACAAAAAGCAGUAUGUUCAAAACGAAUUAUUUGAACGAUAUUUU
ensembl:lncRNA